GGGAAGAUGGGGCGAGGAGGCGGGGGAAGGCGAAGGGGGGGAUGGUUGUUCGGGUGUACUGGGCGUACAGGUAGCGGAGGCGGUUGGUGAAGCCCUCCGUGAAAUCGCCAGGCUUAACCUGGAAAGUGCAGAGGGGACUGUUCAGCUAGAGGAUGGGAGAGGAGCGCGGAAUUCCCGGUGUAGCGGUGAAAUGCGUAGAGAUCGGGAGGAAGGCCGGUGGUGAAGGCGGCGCUCUGGAACAUUUCUGACGCUGAGGCUCGAAAGCGUGGGGAGCAAACAGGAUUAGAUACCCCGGUAGUC
rnacentral:rRNA from 1 species